AAAUUUCAAUACAAUAUUUUCAUUCAAUUUGUUCGCGGGGUUUCAUUGAUCAAAAAGUUGAUAGCAAGGAUCAUUCUUGGUGUGGAUACGCAUUGAUCAAAUGAGACUCUCUUCACCAGGUACUUAUUAGAUCCGAUCUUUGACAUGUAAAUAAAUUUUAAACACGAAAAGUUCUGCCUAGAAUUGUUAUUGUCUUACGCUGCGCGUUAAGAACAUGUAUAUGCAAUCCUACAUAGAAGUCUAUCAGAACUAACAUAAUUAUGUCCAGCUUAAAUGUGUUCUUCUAAACAAACGUACCUUCGUGAUAUUUUUUUUUUUUGAGAAGGUAAAAAUUUAUCAUAACAGUAUCAAGAUGGUACUUGAGAUACAGAGAACAUUCCAAAACAACAAACACUCCCUACAUCCCACCUAGCAAAAAAAUGGAUGUGCCUAUAUGGUGUUAUUUGUUUCUGAAUUUUGUAUCAUCUACUUCCACCCAGUACAUUCCCCUUUGGUUUUAUCAUAUGCUAAUACUAGCUUAUGGUAAAAUUGCUCUUUUUCCCCCUCUGGAUAGGUAGUGGAACUCGAUUUUCUUUAUCCAAGUGAAGGCAUUCAUGAACGGUGGAAUAGUGGUUAUCGUAUUACAGCAACAGCUGCUACGUUAGAUCAAGCUGCUCUUAUCUUGAGCGUGCCUUGACGAAGACCUGGCAAUGAGACUCAGGAAACAUUGAGAACAUCUCAGUUUCCAAGUACACAUGUUAAGGAAAAGUGGGCAAAAAAUCUCUAUCUUUCUUGUCUAUGCUUUGGCCGAACUGUAUCUUGAGAAGUUGCAACAUCUUACCCCUCCUUAUUGUUCUAUUCUCUUUUUCUCUCAUUGGCAAUUAUAAAAAGUGGAUGGUAGGUUAAAUGGUUCGAUUGUUAUGCAUAGGAAAUUUUAGUUAUAGUGGCACUUGCUUCAUUUAGCUCGUCUGAACAGCGCAGUUUUUGGUGAACUUUCUUAUGCGAUGUAUAUACAAUUAACUGCACAAAUUUCCAAAUUUAUGGAUCCUUUGUAUCCUUUGUGCUUAGUGCAAGUCAUUUCCCAAUAUGUAAAUCCAGAAUGAGCUUAA